ACGCGAGGAACCUUACCAGGUUUUGACAUCCUCUGACAACUCUAGAGAUAGAGCGUUCCCCUUCGGGGGACAGAGUGACAGGUGGUGCAUGGUUGUCGUCAGCUCGUGUCGUGAGAUGUUGGGUUAAGUCCCGCAACGAGCGCAACCCUUGAUCUUAGUUGCCAGCAUUUAGUUGGGCACUCUAAGGUGACUGCCGGUGACAAACCGGAGGAAGGUGGGGAUGACGUCAAAUCAUCAUGCCCCUUAUGACCUGGGCUACACACGUGCUACAAUGGAUGGUACAAAGGGCUGCAAGACCGCGAGGUCAAGCCAAUCCCAUAAAACCAUUCUCAGUUCGGAUUGUAGGCUGCAACUCGCCUACAUGAAGCUGGAAUCGCUAGUAAUCGCGGAUCAGCAUGCCGCGGUGAAUACGUUCCCGGGCCUUGCACUCACCGCCCGU
rnacentral:rRNA from 1 species